rnacentral:rRNA from 1 species
AGUGAACGCUGGCGGUAGGCUUAACACAUGCAAGUCGAACGGCAGCACACUAAGAGCUUGUUCUGACGGGCGGCGAGUGGCGGACUGGUGCGGAAUACAUCGGGAUCUACUUUUUCGCGGGGGGUAACGUAGGGUAACAUACGCUGAUACCUCAUAAGGACUACGGGUGAAAGAACGGGAACUUUUGACCUCGCGCGAUUGGAUCGGCCGAUGUCGGAUUAGCUAGUUGGCGGGGUAAAGGCCCACCAAGGCGACGAUCCGUAGCUGGUCUGAGAGGAUGAUCAGCCACACUGGGACUGAGACACGGUCCAGACUCCUACGGGAGGCAGCAGUGGGGAAUAUUGGACAAUGGGCGCAAGCCUGAUCCAGCCAUGCCGCGUGGGUGAAGAAGGCCUUCGGGUUGUAAAGCCCUUUUGGCGGGAAAGAAAAGCAGCAGGUUAAUACCCCGCUGUUCUGACGGUACCCAAAGAAUAAGCACCGGCUAACUUCGUG